GAUCCUGGCUCAGGAUGAACGCUAGCGACAGGCUUAACACAUGCAAGUCGAGGGGCAUCAUGAGGUAGCAAUACCUUGAUGGCGACCGGCGCACGGGUGAGUAACGCGUAUGCAACCUGCCCGAUACCGGGGGUAUAGCCCAUGGAAACGUGGAUUAACACCCCAUAGUACUUUUAUCCUGCAUGGGAUGUGAGUUAAAUGUUCAAGGUAUCGGAUGGGCAUGCGUCCUAUUAGUUAGG
rnacentral:rRNA from 1 species